CUACGGGAGGCUCCAGUGGGGGAUAUUGCACAAUGGAGGAAACUCUGAUGCAGCAACGCCGCGUGAAGGAAGACGGUUUUCGGAUUGUAAACUUCUAUCAGCUGGGAAGAAAAUGACGGUACCAGACUAAGAAGCCCCGGCUAACUACGUGCCAGCAGCCGCGGUAAUACGUAGGGGGCAAGCGUUAUCCGGAUUUACUGGGCGUAAAGGGUUCGUAGGCGGUUAUUUAAGUCAGAUGUGAAAGCCCGAGGCUCAACCUCGGGACUGCAUUUGAAACUGGAUAACUAGAGUACAGGAGAGGAAAGCGGAAUUCCUAGUGUAGCGGUGAAAUGCGUAGAUAUUAGGAAGAACACCAGUGGCGAAGGCGGCUUUCUGGACUGUAACUGACGCUGAUGAACGAAAGCGUGGGGAGCGAACAGGAUUAGAUACCCGGGUAGUC
rnacentral:rRNA from 1 species